GAGGAAAAGAAACCAACAGGGAUUGCCUCAGUAACGGCGAGUGAAGCGGCAAAAGCUCAAAUUUGAAAUCUAGCACCUUCGGUGUUCGAGUUGUAAUUUGAAGAUGGUAACCUUGGGUUUGGCUCUUGUCUAUGUUCCUUGGAACAGGACGUCAUAGAGGGUGAGAAUCCCGUCUGAUGAGAUGCCCAUUCCUAUGUAAGGUGCUAUCGAAGAGUCGAGUUGUUUGGGAAUGCAGCUCUAAGUGGGUGGUAAAUUCCAUCUAAAGCUAAAUAUUGGCGAGAGACCGAUAGCGAACAAGUACAGUGAUGGAAAGAUGAAAAGAACUUUGAAAAGAGAGUGAAAAAGUACGUGAAAUUGUUGAAAGGGAAGGGCAUUAGAUCAGACUUGGUGUUUUACGAUUAUCUUCUCUUCUUGAGUUGUGCACUCGUAUUUCACUGGGCCAGCAUCGAUUCGGAUGGCAAGAUAAUGGCAGUUGAAUGUGGCUUCACUUCGGUGGAGUGUUAUAGCUUCUGCUGAUAUUGCCUGUCUGGAUCGAGGGCUGCGUCUUUUGACUAGGAUGCUGGCGUAAUGAUCUAAUGCCGCCCGUCUUG
rnacentral:rRNA from 1 species